rnacentral:snRNA from 1 species
GUGCUCUCUUCGGCAGCACGUAUACUAAAAUUGAAACGAUACAGAGAAGAUUAGCACGGCCCCUGCACAAGGAUGACACACAAAUUCAUGAAGCGUUCCAUAUUUUU